GGCUCAAUGGUCUAGUGGUAUGAUUCUCGCUUUGGGUGUGAGAGGUCUCCGGUUCAAUCCCGGAUUGAGCCC
rnacentral:tRNA from 2 species